rnacentral:rRNA from 1 species
GACGAACGCUGGCGGCGUGCUUAACACAUGCAAGUCGAACGGUGAAGGGACCAGCUUGCUGGUUCUGGAUGAGCGGCGAACGGGUGAGUAACACGUGAGUAACCUGCCUCCUUCUCCUGGAUAACCGCAUGAAAGCGUGGCUAAUACGGGAUAUUCUGGGUCUGCCGCAUGGCGGGCCCGGGAAAGAUAUUGUUCCGGCGGGGGAUGGGCCCGCGGCCGAUCAGCUUGUUGGUGGGGUGAUGGCCUACCAAGGCGGCGACGGGUAGCCGGCCUGGGGGGGGGCACGGUCGCACUGGGACUGCGGCCCAGCCCCCUCUCCUACGGGAGGCUGCGGUGUGGACUAUUGCACGCUGGGCGCUAGCGUGAUGCAGCCGCGCCACGUGAGAGGUGGUUGCCUUCGUGUUGUACUCCUCUUUCGCCAGUGAAGCAGUCCUGCUCCUUGUGCGUGUGUUGACGGUAGCUGGAUAGAAAGCGCCGGCUAACUACGUG